rnacentral:rRNA from 1 species
UACGUAGGGUGCAAGCGUUAAUCGGAAUUACUGGGCGUAAAGCGUGCGCAGGCGGCUUUGCAAGACAGAUGUGAAAUCCCCGGGCUCAACCUGGGAACUGCAUUUGUGACUGCAAGGCUAGAGUACGGUAGAGGGGGAUGGAAUUCCACGUGUAGCAGUGAAAUGCGUAGAUAUGUGGAGGAACACCGAUGGCGAAGGCAGGUCUCUGGGCAUUAACUGACGCUGAGGAGCGAAAGCAUGGGGAGCGAACAGG